UCCUUAUCUCAGUGCCUUCAGCACUUUCAGGUCCCACCUGGAAGCCCUCAGGCUCACCUGGACCCCCUCAAGGGCAGGGAGUUCCCCAUAAAGCAGAGGUGUAGGAAUUGGCGGAGGAAAAGAAACAUUCCCAGCUAAUGAGAAACAACCUGUGUGCAUUUCUAAAACAAACCGAAAAUGUACCCUUGAAGAGCUUCCAGACCUGGAAGUGCAAAGAAAAAACAGGCUGGCCGCGAGCAAUUAGCAACACAGCCUCCCAUUUGCAGAGUUUCAAAACAGCUUUAGGCUAACCCUUGCAUCUGGAGGGGCUGUCCACUGACGUGGGAACAGCGGCCACGGGAAAUCAGCGGCACAGUCGCUACCACGGAGCUGGGUCCCUGGUGGUAUGGCUACUCGAGUCCGGGCCGGGUAGGAGACAGUCCGGCUGGAGUCUGGACUUGCCACACUGAUGCUGGAGGGAAGGAGAUGGAUCCAAAAAAAUAUUGCUGUGGGGCUUCUCUGGUGGCGCAGUGGUUGAGAAUCUGCCUGCCAAUGCAGGGGACACAGGUUCCAACCCUGGUUUGGGAGGAUCCCGCAUGCCAUGGAGCAACUGGGCUCGUGAGCCACAACUACUGAGCCUGCGCGUCUGGAGGCUGUGCUCCGCAACAAGAGAGGCCGCGAUAGUGAGAGGCCCGCGCACCGCGAUGAAGAGUGGCCCCCGCUUGCCACAACUGGAGAAAACCCUCGCACAGAAACGAAGACCCAAC